GGUCCCAUAGCUCAGUUGGUUAGAGCACCUGACUCAUAAUCAGGGAGUCCUUGGUUCAAGCCCAAGUGGGACCACGA
rnacentral:tRNA from 1 species